GGUUGGAUGGCCGAGGAUAGGCGUUAAAUUGUAAAUUUAUUAACGAGAGUAAUCUCUCCAACCA
rnacentral:tRNA from 1 species